UCCGGCUUCUCGCCGGCAGUCCUCUUCGAGUGCCCGACAUAACUCGCUGGCAACAAAGAGCAGGGGUUGCGCUCGUUGCGGGACUUAACCCAACACCUCACGGCACGAGCUGACGACCUUGUUAUCUCCGCGUUUCCGCGGGGCAAGGACUGUACCUUCACCCGAUCCGUCAGUGAUCGGGGCCAGCGUGUUGCACCACUCAUAGAUUUCGGAAUCCCCGAGCGAGUGAUGCCAUCACAGUCUCUACAGGGUGAAACGACAGCUGCCUUUCGGCGCGGCAGACGAAUGUCUUCGUCUCUGACAACCUGACUGUCGCUCACUUCCCUCGGU
rnacentral:misc_RNA from 1 species